GUGCGAAAACGUGGACCGGCGGUAGCUUCGUCGCUCUGCUUUGAACGGGAGAGAGAGCCGGUGGCGGCUUUGGGUGGUAACUGGCUCGAGCGAGGGGGCGAGCGGGGAACUUGCCUUUGGCUUUUUAAGCUUCGGAAACCGGACGUGCCGUGUCCUACCUAUAUCGCCCAGCCGUGGCAUGUUUUUCCCAGCAAGGACCGACACCAGUAUAAUUGCAGCCCAUAUCCUUUCAGUUUGGUUUUUAUUCUGUUUCGUGCCUCUUUCUUCUCGAAAGUGACCUGAUGAAGACAGGACGAACGCUUGCUUUGGGGAUGCAGUCCUGGUUUUCAGGGGCUUUCCCACAAAAGCGUUUUAGCGGGGAGCAAGCCUCGUGCUACGCCAUCGUUUAUGGAGUUGCCUGGCUUCACAUGAACCCGCUGUGCUGAGCUUACACCAGGCACACUCCGUGAGAACCUUAUGUGUGAAGCCUGCCGUGGCUGGGUUGUGUAACAUAUUGAGCUUCACGCUCUUAAAUUUUGGUCUAGAGUGCUGUAGGAAUGCAACCUGCGUGAUUAAUUUAUGAUUCACUGUGUUGUUAGGUUACAUUGAAUAAAUUAUGGUUAAUUGGAUGAGCAAUGUCAUGCAAACAGCCAGUCUGAAACUAUUCCAAUCUUUCCUCCUCUUUUCCUCUUGUUUUUUUUCUAGAAAUGAUGGAAGAAGUAAUAAGGGAAUAACAGGAAGGUUACAAAUGGAGGAUGACAACAUUUGCACGCACCCCAAAUUAAAUUCUUUAAAUGAGCUAUAUAGCUGUCCAGAAAGAAGCCUUAUCUAGAAGCCCCAACUCACCACAAAGAUGUCUUGUAGCUAUUACAUCUCUUCUUCCUUAGUUUUUUUCCCUGCAGUAAAAGAGUUGGAAAGAGUGAUGGGAAAACAGAAUUACAGAUGGAAGUUAAUACUGUCUGGGCCUCUGUGCAGUUCCUUAAAUGAGGCUAAAUAUUUACAUAAUAAAAGUCUCAUCUAGAAUAAGUUUGAUCAGAUAAAACAUUUAUUGCAAAAUGGUCCUUGCAGAAUUUUAUUAAAUAUCUAGACAGCAUCUUUCAUUAUAUUCCAUUCAUAUUUUUUUUUAAACCUAAAAAAUCAAUUAACAGAAUAUAACAAACAGAAUAGAAAUAGAAAUAACAGAAACAUGCUUUUUAUUGGCAAUAAUGCAAGCUCUUUAUCUGGAAGCAUCACCUGUUUAAUUGAGAAAAGUGUGGGAAAACAUCACCUGGACCCUUGCAAAACAUUUCAUGAAUGAGACAGGAUAAACUGUUAAAAUAGUUUAACAGUGUUCGGUUUCCGACUAGUUUCACUAAAUAGAAGUAGUUUCAUCACUUAACUUUUGCAUCUGCCUUUCCUUCAGGACAAUGUCCAUUGGUAAGCUGAUUUGUUAAUUGCAUUUGAACAUUCAGAUAUUUUGCACCAGGUCAUGCUGAUGCAAACAAGUUCUAUCCCCUCUUCACCCCACAGAUAAUACUAUGAAAAAUGUUCAGAGGGUAGAUUUAUUGAGAAAUGAAGGAUGUAAAACAAUACUAUUAGAUAAUUUGGCAUUCAGGCUAAGAGAAUGCAGUACAUUUGUUGGUUACCCAGAGAGCUCCAUGGUUAAACAAAAAUUUAAAGCUGGGUUCCCAUAAAUCAAGAUUCAGAAUCAGCUAUAGUAAGGAACCUCUUGCUCCAGGGGCCUUAUCUGUUAAUUUGCAAGUUGCUAUGAGCCAAAAUGUAUCCUGGAAGUAUCCAAGCACUGAUUCUUAGAGGAGAUGCUUAAAAAUAUCUGUGAUGCCGUAUGGCAGCUCUUCUCAGGAGUUUGGUGACCUUGCUGAAAGAGUAGUGGACUUCGAGAUUUGCCUGGCCCCUAAUGACAACAUCUAACCAAAACAGAGUCUGAGGAACAAUCCAGCCUUUGGGUCUGAUCCUAUUCUGCACUCAUGUUUUAGAUCAGACAAUGUAGAUGUUGCUGUAUUACAUGUCCUAUUAUUCCUCACCAUUGGCUAUACUGGUUAGGACAGCUGGAAGUUGUAAUUCAGCAACAUGUGGAAUGCCGUACGUUGCCUAUCUCUGUUCUAGAAGGCAGUGAUGCCUGGCUGAUGUUGAAGCUAAGCAUGGGCAGUUCUAGUUAGUGCAUGCAUGUGAGACCACCUAGGAAGUCAAAUCAUCCCAGAAGAAGGUCACAGCAAACUACUUCCAUGAUGACAAGAAAACUACAUAGAUUCCGUCUCCAGGAGUUGAGCUCAACUCAAGUGUGUCUUUAUUUUGUAUUUUUAUUUCUAGAUCCUACCUUGGAGUUAUCUAAUUAAAAGUGCUGCUCAGCACCAACUGAAAUAGGGUUUCCAAUAUGCAGCAUGCACCUACAAAACAAUUUUCUGUUCUGCUUUGUCUGUCUCCUGGUUGGUUGGUUUGUAACCUGGUUGGAGAUAAAGAGUGUUAGUUGAUUCCAUGUGCUAUCUAAUUGAAAUAAUGUUCACUUACUAUAAACAGAUAAAAAAUUAUACUUUCUUAAAAGGCAAUCUAGGGUUGUUGUUUUUUUCCAGACUGUGGACUUGUAACAAAUGCUGUUUUCCUUAAAUUAAUACAUUCAAGCCGUGCAAUGUUAUAGGUCAUGCUGGUAACUGCUUAGGAUUGCAGCCUGAGCAAAUAUGUAUAUAAAACACCCUAAAAAAUGGAGCCAGUUUUAUUCGGAUGGUUUUUUGCAUGUGUGUUUGAUCCUACUUACUUGAGAUUCCCAGACAUCCCAUAUUCAGUCCACACUCGCUUCAGCAAUUAUGCCCAUUGUGCCUCCACCCAAGGAAAUACCUUUCGGGCUGGGUUAUAUGGUUAAUUCAGGCAAACAAUAGGCUGCAAAACAGGAGUUCAGCUCAGAUGAAGUUAAUUGCUUUUAAUUUCUAAAUAUAACUUGCACUGUGAGUUUAAUUAUGAAGGGGGGGUUUAUAUAUAUAUUUUCAUAGGUGAAAAUGAUUACACCUGUGAGAUGCUUCACUUGUGGUAAAAUAGUUGGAAAUAAAUGGGAGGCAUAUCUUGGCCUUUUGCAAGGAGAAUAUACAGAAGGGUGUGCAUUCUCCUCAAUUCCUGCACUUUCAUAACUAUUUUAUAAGAUAAGUAAGAAUUUGAUCAAUAUAACAAUUUAGGAUGGAAUGUAAUAUUUAAAUAUAUUAUUUCCAUGCCGCUGAAUGAAAACGUUGCUAACGAAAAAUGCUGUGGGUUUUAGUUUUAUGAGGGCUUCAGUUGAUAGCUUAUACAGGAUAAGGCAUUGCUUAGCUGCUCGCUUGUAGUGUCCCAUCAGAAGUAUGUUUCUGAGUAACAUUUUAGUUUAUUAUAUCACCAAAAAAAUCAAGUAAUUUGAUUGGUUUUUAAAUAUUAAUCUUGUUCCAGCAGCUCCUAAUAUUGAUGUGCUCUUUUUUUUAAAAAAAAAAAAGCUUGCUUAUUUGGGCAGUCAUAUACCACUGUUUUUCACAUAGUGGUAAUUAAAUAGCAGGUUAUGUUGAAUCUCCAUUAUAUACUAGAAAAGGCCUGAGAAAAGUUUCUUUCAUUGACUGACUGGUAUUUGAGAAGCAUUGUCAAUUAUUCUCUUUUGUGCUAUAUCUACCAUUUUCCUUAUCUUCGUAGAAUUGUUUCUGGUUGCAGUUAAUCAUGCUGUGAUAGCCAUUGAUUUUUCAUUGCAAAUACAGAAUUGGAAAUUACGGAUCUAAAGCCUGAGAUUAAAUAGUAUAUUACUACAAUAUUUGCAUGAUAAAUAUGUCUGAGUAUAUGCCUUGAGUAUAAAUCUGAUUCUCUUGCAAUUUAUUGUAUGAUUUUAUAUUAACCAAGUGAGCAUACAAUGCAUAAUUGAAUUCCUUCUAACAUCAGAGUUGUCUGUAGUAACUAACUGUCUUCUGACAAUUUUCAGGACACAUAAGUAUGUCAGAUAUUGUUAAAAUCAUUUCUUGUAAUAAAAAAAGGUCAUGUCAGCUGAAUAAGCUAGUUGUCCAGAGAUGCAGAAAUUCUGCAGUAUUUGGAAAUGCUACUUUUCACUUAUGUUGAGUUUCUUCAGAUAGCACUGACUAGAAACAAUAUUGAAGAAAAGAACAUAAUCACUUCUACUUAAUUGUUUAGCUCCAUAUUAUCAGAUGUAGGGUUUUUAAAAGCUGGAGUAUGGGUUCAUAAAAAUCAGUAUAUGAGAAUUCUUUUGCAGUACUCAGCUUUUCUGCAGUUUUUGUGGAAAUUAAUGUGUUCAUAUGCAUAUCUGUUCAGAAAAAAACUCCUUGGAGUUCAAUAAAACCAUCUCCAUAUAAGCUUAUACAACUUUGCAGCCUAUGUAUGCUGGAUUUUUCAUCAAAACACUACUAAAAUGAAUACAAAAAUUAUGAUAUACCACUAUUAAAAUGUUUAAUGAUCUAUUUUUAGUUUUAUUGUUGUUUGAAUAGAUUUGAGGUUGAACGCUAUGAAGAGGAUUUCAUCUGAUGUGGAAAUCUAGAACUUGUUGGGGAAGCAAAGAUUGUCAUUUUAUGUUCAUCAGUUCUCUGCUUAUAUUUUUUAGAUUCCACUUACUUGAUCUUCUUCCUUUUAGAUAAAUACAAUAUUGAACAGUUGACAAGGAGAAAAAGAGGAUGUUGCUGAAAACUGCUAGAAGCCAACACUGUGUGACUUUUGUGAUGGUGAAUCCCUAAGCAUUGGGAUGGAAAGAAAAUAAGCAAAUCAUAGAUCUAAUCGUUUCCCACAUUUUCUUUUUACAUUUUUCUGGAGGCCAGAAGCCAUCUUCUACAUCUGGCGUCUUUGUUAAGAAGUGAUGCCUUGGAUGCUUUGGGUCUGAAAAGAUACUGCUGUCGCAGAAUGCUGCUUGCCCACAUGGACCUGAUUGAAAAGCUCCUGAACUAUGCCCCACUGGAGAAAUAAAUGGGAAGAAUUUAUGGUGCUACAAGUACAUGAACCAAAGUUUUUACAAUCCUUAAGCCAAACUACUGGGGUUACAAAUGCAGAUUAUGUUCAGAGGGAAUUUCCUUUUGGGGGAUAUCCUACCACCUUAGCCACUUAGCAUCCCCAAAUAAAUGACUUAAUAAUGAAUUCCAGCUAGACAGCUGGGGACUGUACUUUUAAUUACAGCAGGAAUCUUGUCAGAUUCUGAGCAUAUUAGAAUCUCAUGGAUUUUCAAACAUGGCAAUUUGAAGAAACACAAACUUUGACUUAC